AUUGAACGCUGGCGGCAGGCCUAACACAUGCAAGUCGAGCGGAUGAAGGGAGCUUGCUCCUGGAUUCAGCGGCGGACGGGUGAGUAAUGCCUAGGAAUCUGCCUGGUAGUGGGGGAUAACGUCCGGAAACGGGCGCUAAUACCGCAUACGUCCUGAGGGAGAAAGUGGGGGAUCUUCGGACCUCACGCUAUCAGAUGAGCCUAGGUCGGAUUAGCUAGUUGGUGGGGUAAAGGCCUACCAAGGCGACGAUCCGUAACUGGUCUGAGAGGAUGAUCAGUCAGACUGGAACUGAGACACGGUCCAGACUCCUACGGGAGGCAGCAGUGGGGAAUAUUGGACGAUGGGCGAAAGCCUGAUCUAGCCAUGCCGCGGGUGUGAAGAAGGUCUUCGGAUUGUAAAGCACUUUAAGUUGGGAGGAAGGGCAGUAAGUUAAUACCUUGCUGUUUUGACGUUACCAACAGAAUAAGCACCGGCUAACUUCGUG
rnacentral:rRNA from 1 species